AUAUUCACAGUCCCUAUGAAUCUCUUUAAUUCACUCUCAUUUUCUCUGAACAUUUAAAUUAAGAAAAUAAAAUGUAAAUGAAUGAAAGAGAAGUCAAAUAAAAUGACCUGCUGCUACUGGCCCUGAUUCCACACCAUAAAGUAUUCUUAGGCUUUUGGAUUUCUGUGAAUAUGGGAUUGACAGAGGAUAUUACCUCCUGCUGAUAAAAAGGAUGUAAGGUUCAGAGAAACUGCUUCUGAGUUCUCCAGCAAAAAUCUGCAUGGAGUCUUAGGGAAACACAGAGUUCACCUCCUUCUCAGGCUGCAGCUGGGAGAACAAGAGGUACAGCUGAACUCAGAGCAUCUUUCCAUGCCUAGCUCAUAAGGAAGUGGUUUGCUUGAGGCAAGAGCUAAAUGACCUGUUCAUAAUCAAUGUUUUUCAAUUAAUUUCAUCUUUUCUCUUGCACAUCAGUUUGUCAUGAAGAGACCAGAUUAUAUAAAUACAUUCCUCAUCUAACAUCAUUUGAUGAAUGCUUCAAGAGAAAAUAAAGUAACUGCCUUUGUACUGAUAAAAACUGUC
rnacentral:lncRNA from 1 species